UGCUGUCACUUAUAGAUGGAUCCGCGCUGCAUUAGCUAGUUGGUAAGGUAACGGCUUACCAAGGCAACGAUGCAUAGCCGACCUGAGAGGGUGAUCGGCCACACUGGAACUGAGACACGGUCCAGACUCCUACGGGAGGCAGCAGUAGGGAAUCUUCCGCAAUGGGCGAAAGCCUGACGGAGCAACGCCGCGUGAGUGAUGAAGGUCUUCGGAUCGUAAAACUCUGUUAUUAGGGAAGAACAUAUGUGUAAGUAACUGUGCACAUCUUGACGGUACCUAAUCAGAAAGCCACGGCUAACUACGUGCCAGCAGCCGCGGUAAUACGUAGGUGGCAAGCGUUAUCCGGAAUUAUUGGGCGUAAAGCGCGCGUAGGCGGUUUUUUAAGUCUGAUGUGAAAGCCCACGGCUCAACCGUGGAGGGUCAUUGGAAACUGGAAAACUUGAGUGCAGAAGAGGAAAGUGGAAUUCCAUGUGUAGCGGUGAAAUGCGCAGAGAUAUGGAGGAACACCAGUGGCGAAGGCGACUUUCUGGUCUGUAACUGACGCUGAUGUGCGAAAGCGUGGGGAUCAAACAGGAUUAGAUACCCUGGUAGUCCACGCCGUAAACGAUGAGUGCUAAGUGUUAGGGGGUUUCCGCCCCUUAGUGCUGCAGCUAACGCAUUAAGCACUCCGCCUGGGGAGUACGACCGCAAGGUUGAAACUCAAAGGAAUUGACGGGGACCCGCACAAGCGGUGGAGCAUGUGGUUUAAUUCGAAGCAACGCGAAGAACCUUACCAAAUCUUGACAUCCUUUGACAACUCUAGAGAUAGAGCUUUCCCCUUCGGGGGACAAAGUGACAGGUGGUGCAUGGUUGUCGUCAGCUCGUGUCGUGAGAUGUUGGGUUAAGUCCCGCAACGAGCGCAACCCUUAAGCUUAGUUGCCAUCAUUAAGUUGGGCACUCUAAGUUGACUGCCGGUGACAAACCGGAGGAAGGUGGGGAUGACGUCAAAUCAUCAUGCCCCUUAUGAUUUGGGCUACACACGUGCUACAAUGGACAAUACAAAGGGCAGCGAAACCGCGAGGUCAAGCAAAUCCCAUAAAGUUGUUCUCAGUUCGGAUUGUAGUCUGCAACUCGACUACAUGAAGCUGGAAUCGCUAGUAAUCGUAGAUCAGCAUGCUACGGUGAAUACGUUCCCGGGUCUUGUACACACCGCCCGUCACACCACGAGAGUUUGUAACACCCGAAGCCGGUGGAGUAACCUUUUAGGAGCUAGCCGUCGAAGGUGGGACAAAUGAUUGGGGUGAAGUCGUAACAAGGUAGCCGUAUCGGAAGGUGCGGCUGGAUCACCUCCUUU
rnacentral:rRNA from 1 species